CUCACAGGCCAGGUUCUCACGGUGGUUGUAGGCUACGUGGCCAGGUACUACGUGGUCGCCCUGGUGUGCUCAGCCAUGGUGUGGUGGCUAUGGUCCUGCUUCCCGAGUCCCCGGCCUUCCUUGCUGUCAAAGGCUACUUCCUGUUCACGGUGAACGCGUCCCGCUUCUUCAAGGAGGCGGGCUCCUCCGUCGACGAGAACCUGGCGGCGGUCAACGUCAUGGUCAUACAGUUUGCGGUGACCGUCCUGGCCUCUCUCCUCAUGGACAGAAUCGGUCGAAGAAAAGCCUGUUUAUCUCCUUCGCGUCAAUGAUUCCCUUCCUGGUCGUGAUGGCGCUGUUCUUCGGGAUCACGGGAGACGGGGAGGAGAGGGGAGGAGGA